GCAGGCUGUUUCAUUUUGUGCUGGGCUCAGGCAGUUUAGAGGAGUCCCAGUGCCUCAAUGAUGGGACUCCAGAAGUGAGGGAUGCAGCCUUUGGCAGCAGUGGCUAAGUUGGUUGGCAUGAGGCCUUUAGAAAAAUCGUUGGAGAAACUGGAUGACGUUAGAAAAAAGAAGCUUUCAGAAAUGAUUGGGGGUUCUGGAGCUGGUUCAGUUGGUUUAAUCUCAGUUACAGUUCAAACUUCUAGUGGAAGCAUUUCUUCUGCAGCGGUGAGUUUAUUCUUGCCUUUUAAAAUUGGUAUACUAUAGCUGGAUUGUAAGUAGGAUCUUGUAGGAUUGCAGUUAGGAUCUUUGGGUUGGUGAUUUUUCACCUCAUCUUUAUUAUGCAUCAUCCUUGUUGGUAUUUUUACCUUUUUUCAUUGUUAUAAAAGUAUAAUCUUAUGAUUCUUGAUCCGAUACGAUUCAAUCUACUAGACUCUCUCACCAUUCUCAUAUCCUGAUUUAUUAACCAUGAUGCCAGAGUU